GACGUAGGGGGCCAGCGUUGCUCGGAAUUACUGGGCGUAAAGGGUUCGUAGGCGGUGCGGCAAGUCGGGAGUGAAAUCUCUGGGCUUAACUCAGGGGCUGCUUCCGAAACUGCCGUGCUUGAGUGCGGGAGAGGCGAGUGGAAUUGCAGGUGUAGCGGUGAAAUGCGUAGAUAUCGGGAGGAACACCUGUGGCGAAAGCGGCUCACUGGACCAUAACUGACGCUGAUGCACGAAAGCUGGGGGAGCAAACAGG
rnacentral:rRNA from 1 species